rnacentral:pre_miRNA from 1 species
UGACUGUGGCUAUGUCCAUGAUCAUGGCCAUGAUCAUGAUUGUGAUUGUGAUCGUGUUCAUGGUCAUGAUUGUGGUCGUGAUCAUGGUCAUGACAA